rnacentral:rRNA from 1 species
AGUGAACGCUGGCGGUAGGCCUAACACAUGCAAGUCGAACGGCAGCACAGUAAGAGCUUGCUCUUACGGGUGGCGAGUGGCGGACGGGGGAGGAAUACAUCGGAAUCUACUUUUUCGUGGGGGAUAACGUAGGGAAACUUACGCUAAUACCGCAUACGACCUACGGGUGAAAGCAGGGGAUCUUCGGACCUUGCGCGAUUGAAUGAGCCGAUGUCGGAUUAGCUAGUUGGCGGGGUAAAGGCCCACCAAGGCGACGAUCCGUAGCUGGUCUGAGAGGAUGAUCAGCCACACUGGAACUGAGACAUGGUCCAGACUCCUACGGGAGGCAGCAGUGGGGAAUAUUGGACAAUGGGCGCAAGCCUGAUCCAGCCAUACCGCGUGGGUCAAGAAGGCCUUCGGGUUGUAAAGCCCUUUUGUUGGGGAAGAAAAGCAGCAGGUUAAUACCCCGCUGUUCUGACGGUACCCACAGGAUAAGCACCGGCUAACUUCGUG